UACGAAGGGGGCUAGCGUUGCUCGGAAUCACUGGGCGUAAAGCGCACGUAGGCGGCUUUCUAAGUCAGGGGUGAAAUCCUGGAGCUCAACUCCAGAACUGCCUUUGAUACUGGAGAGCUAGAGUCCGGAAGAGGUGAGUGGAACUGCGAGUGUAGAGGUGAAAUUCGUAGAUAUUCGCAAGAACACCAGUGGCGAAGGCGGCUCACUGGUCCGGUACUGACGCUGAGGUGCGAAAGCAUGGGGAGCGAACAGG
rnacentral:rRNA from 1 species